rnacentral:rRNA from 1 species
UACGUAGGCAGCGAGCGUUGUUCGGAGUUACUGGGCGUAAAGGGUGUGUAGGCGGUCCCUUAAGUUUGGUGUGAAAUCUCCCGGCUCAACUGGGAGGGUGCGCCGGAUACUGAGGGGCUAGAGUGCGGGAGGGGAAAGUGGAAUUCCUGGUGUAGCGGUGAAAUGCGUAGAUAUCAGGAGGAACACCGGUGGUGCAAACGGCUUUCUGGACCGUAACUGACGCUGAGACACGAAAGCGUGGGGAGCAAACAGG